ACAAAACCGAUGAAAAAGAAGAGUAAAUAAGAUCCAUAUGAAAAGAGAGGAAAUGCCUCAGGCUGAAAGCAUUUCUACAUAAUGACUUGUUGAAUGACACUUUGGAGGUUUCACUUUGAAAGGCUUAUUGGCUAAGUAGAAGUUGAACGCAAUUUUGGCGUUAUAACAAAAGUGGAAGCAUACGUGCUUCAAUUAGGGUGGCACCACGGGUAUUAUACUCUCGUCCCUACU
rnacentral:ncRNA from 1 species